UACGGAAGGUGCAAGCGUUGUUCGGAGUGACUGGGCGUAAAGGGCGCGUAGGCGGAAUGACAAGUUGUUUGUGAAAACCCAGGGCUCAGCCUUGGACGUGCAAGCAAAACUGUGAUUCUUGAAUGUCUGAGAGGUUAGUGGAAUUCCAGGUGUAGGAGUGAAAUCCGUAGAUAUCUGGAGGAACACCGGAGGCGAAGGCGGCUAACUGGUAGAACAUUGACGCUAAGGCGCGAAAGCGUGGGGAGCAAACAGG
rnacentral:rRNA from 1 species